GAUGAACGCUGGCGGCGUGCCUAAUACAUGCAAGUCGAGCGAACGGACGAGAAGCUUGCUUCUCUGAUGUUAGCGGCGGACGGGUGAGUAACACGUGGAUAACCUACCUAUAAGACUGGGAUAACUUCGGGAAACCGGAGCUAAUACCGGAUGAUAUUUUGAACCGCAUGGUUCAAAAGUGAAAGACGGUCUUGCUGUCACUUAUAGAUGGAUCCGCGCUGCAUUAGCUAGUUGGUAAGGUAACGGCUUACCAAGGCAACGAUGCAUAGCCGACCUGAGAGGGUGAUCGGCCACACUGAAACUGAGACACGGUCCAGACUCCUACGGGAGGCAGCAGUAGGGAAUCUUCCGCAAUGGGCGAAAGCCUGACGGAGCAACGCCGCGUGAGUGAUGAAGGUCUUCGGAUCGUAAAACUCUGUUAUUAGGGAAGAACAUAUGUGUAAGUAACUGUGCACAUCGUGACGGUACCUAAUCAGAAAGCCACGGCUAACUACG
rnacentral:rRNA from 1 species